UGUUUGUCUUCUUCAGGUUUGAUUGUUUUUCUCCGUCUGUCUUUAUAAAACAUCUCAAGUUCAUUUAGGUCGAAGGAGAACAUCUGGUGCUGAAUGCAAAUGUUUGCCACACUUUUCAGAUUCUGUUUAAAACCAUUCUCCACUUUAACUUUAACAAUUAUCCUUCUAGUUCAACAAGAAAAUUAAAAUGUUUUUAUGAUUAUGAAGAGAAAAAUAUGAAAAACGUUUUAAACAAAUUUUUUUAUAACUUUCUCUGUUGUUUCAUUGAACUGGUUUUAAUCUCAUUAAUGUAAAAACAGAAUUUCACUCAAACUUUAACAGUUUCUGUCUGAGUUUCUCUGGAUGAAUCUGAUCUGAGGCCAGAAUCGGACGAUGUUCAGCGUGAUGCGAGUUUUACGGCGUUUGGUUUCAGACGCUAACCAGGGAUCCUCUUCCUCCUCGUCUCCCAUCCGUCCAUCCACUUCCCAAACUCCGUGAAGGCCGACGGGAUGAACUGCGGAGGCUCUCGCUGUGAAAACGCAGCAGAUGUUUGAGGAGCGACAGCAGCGAAACAAACGGUAAUGAACUGUUUCAGGUAAAGGACGGCGUGAAAACAACUGAGCUCACUUAGAAUUAAAAUAUUACUUCAUAACUUUUGGCUUUAAACGUAUCGACGUCUUUAAAUGUGGCUGUCGAGCCAAAGA